AAAAAGGCUCCAACAUCACAAAGGGGCGUCGUCUUUAAAGGGACAACGGAGAAGGAACGGGAACGAAGGCAAUGGACGAACACAGAGAGACGGAAAACACGAAGGCUCGUAGGCACAACUUCCUCGACCGACAGCGAGACGGUUCAUCUUCGGGGUUCGACUAGACUGAAGAACGAACGGAGAAGCGGCGAAGGUUCGAUCGUUCAUCGCUGGCUGUGUGAGGUGCGAAGGGAGGAGGUCCGAUGGGGAGUCCGGACGCCUUAAACAGGGGUAGCAGCAAGUUGAGACCCUCGGAGCUCUGUGGUCGACGGGAACAGUAGAGAAGGAAACGAGGGGAAAAGGGGGUCUCCGGUCUUUGGCCGGUCAUGAAGAGCAUUAACGGUCGUUGAUCAAUGGGGUUUGCGAUCGGUGGGGUGUUUGGCAGUGAAGUUCGACGGGAAGAAGGGCAGGUUUAGAUCAGUGUUUGGGUUUGACUGCUUGACAAGGGAGGAGGCAACAUUGAAUGGGUGGUGAAGGAAAGAAGAAACAAAUAUCAGGUGGUUGUUUUGGGGGUUUGUUCGAUUGCAGGGAAGGAAGAAAUCAAGGUGUAACAAUCGGGGAUGUUUGGCUGCUGUUGCUCUGGAAUCCUCAUAGGGGUAUUUGCAAGCUGCGAUGUCUUAAGCAGGAGGGUGUUUGGGUGGUGCCACACGACAGGGAAAAGGGGGUUUCUGCCCUUUUGAUGGUCGGAAAACUCCAAUUCCGGUGGUAUCUUCUUCCACCCUGAGAGAGAGAGAGAGAGAGAGAGAGAGAGAGAGAGAGAGAGAGAGGAUGGAGUGAAUUGUUGUAGAAGGAAGAGUUUUGUUUCAGCUAUUUGUGAUCUAAUGUAGAUUUUUAUGAGAUUUUGUGUAUCAAAAGAUUUAGGAGUGAUCCUGAGAGUUCAAUGUAUUGUUUAUGGGUUUAUAUUCAUACAUGUGGAUGUUUUUGUGUGUGAGAAAACUGGUCAAUAUCAUGUAUCUAUUCAUGUAUUUGGUUGAAUUGCUAUUAGCCUUGAUAUGUAUUAA